AACGUAGGUACCGAGCGUUAUCCGGAUUUACUGGGCGUAAAGCGCGUUCAGGCGGUUUGGCAAGUCGGGCAUGAAAUCUCUCGGCUCAACCGGGAGAGGUUGUCCGAUACUGCUGGACUUGAGGGCAGUAGAGGGUGGUGGAAUUCCGGGUGUAGUGGUGAAAUGCGUAGAUAUCCGGAGGAACACCGAUGGCGAAGGCAGGUCUCUGGGCCAUAACUGACGCUGAGAAGCGAAAGCAUGGGGAGCGAACAGG
rnacentral:rRNA from 1 species